UACGAAGGGUCCAAGCGUUAUCCGGAUUUAUUGGGCUUAAAGGGUGCGUAGGCGGGUUGGUAAGUCAGUGGUGAAAUCUCCAGGCUUAACUUGGAAACUGCCAUUGAUACUAUCAAUCUUGAAUACCGUGGAGGUCAGCGGAAUAUGUCAUGUAGCGGUGAAAUGCUUAGAUAUGACAUAGAACACCAAUUGCGAAGGCAGCUGGCUAGACGAAUAUUGACACUGAUGCACGAAAGCGUGGGGAGCAAACAGG
rnacentral:rRNA from 1 species